AUGGACUUCAGGCUCAGCUUGAUUUUUCUUAUCCUUACUUCAAAAGGUGUCCAGUGUGAGGUGAAGCUGGUAGAGUCUGGGGGAGGCUUAGUGCAGCCUGGAAGGUCCCUGAAACUCUCCUGUGCAGCCUCUGGAUUCACUUUCGAUGACUAUGGAAUGGCAUGGGUCCGCCAGGCUCCAAAGAAUGGGCUGGAGUGGGUGGCAAGCAUUAAUUGGGAUGGUGCUAGCACCUACUAUCCAGACAAUGUGAAGGGCAGAUUCACCAUCUCCAGAGACAAUGCCAAGAAUGCCCUAUACCUGCAAAUGAACAAUCUGAGAUCUGAGGAUACGGCCAUAUAUUACUGUACAAGAGACACCAUGAGUGAAUAUUAUUGUGAGCUGAAACACAAACCUCCAGUAGAGCACACUCUUGGCCAGCAGGUGGUGCAGAGAGCUCACAUAGCUCCUAUUACUGACAGAUUAUGA